UACGUAGGGUGCAAGCGUUUGUCCGGAAUUAUUGGGCGUAAAGAGCUCGUAGGCGGUCUGUCGCGUCGGCUGUGAAAACCCGGGGCUCAACCCCGGGCCUGCAGUCGAUACGGGCAGACUAGAGUGCGGUAGGGGAGACUGGAAUUCCUGGUGUAGCGGUGAAAUGCGCAGAUAUCGGGAGGAACACCGGUGGCGAAGGCGGUUCUCUGGGCCUUACCUGACGCUGAGGAGCGAAAGCGUGGGGAGCGAACAGG
rnacentral:rRNA from 1 species